AUUGAUUCAUUCAGGAAUGAACCACCAACCGUGUUUUGAUUGGAGACACUCGACGGUUCGGAGUGACUCUGCUUUGGCUUUGAUUUAAACUAGACAAGGACUUCAAUCAGGUACUUCAGAGUCAGAAAAGUGUGACAGAACCGUGUAUAUUGACUUAUUAACAAGAAGGAGGAGAGCUGGCUCACUUCCCUAACUGAGAUAAUCUCUUCCUGUUUUUGGACACCUUGGCCUCUUUCUUGGAGCAGGAUGCCUUUUCCCCCCCGAAACAUGAAUUUGUGGUUUGGAGUGUCAAUGCGUGUCAGCCUUGUUGAGAGAUCUGUCUAAUUUAGUACAUGUAUGUUGGUGUAAUAGGCAGCUUGUGUACCUGUUCCCCAUCCUUCUGCACAGGAACUCCAUCUGCUGCUGGAGAGAGAAGGAGAUAAAAAAAGUGUAAAUUAUAGCAGGGUGCUUUGAGACUCAAAUAGGAAAAGUAUAAGCAGGGCAUAUAUUUUUGUGAUUUGAAGAGUAGUUGGCUGUGAACCAUAUUUCAAGGAUGUUACAAGAUCAGGAAGUGAUCUUACAAUAAAACACUGUAAACUACAUCAGUGCAGUCUACAGUACAUCUACUGCCUACAUUUCUUAUAAAAACAACUGAAUUGCCUCUGUUAUAGUAAUUAGCGUUUGCUGAGAACUUGGACCUUGUUUAUUUGUAAUUAAUUUUCUCUUAGCCAGUU